rnacentral:rRNA from 1 species
GACGAACGCUGGCGGCGUGCUUAACACAUGCAAGUCGAGCGGAGCGGCGAACGGGGGAGUAACGCGAGAGUAACUGCAACCCUCUCUGGGAGAACAGUUGGAAACGGCUGCUAAUACCGGAUAGUGGGGGAUGACUCGCGUCCUAUCAGCUUGUUGGUGGGGUAGUGGCCUACCAAGGCGAGGACGGGUAGCCGGCCUGGGAGGGCGACCGGCCACAUUGUGCUGAGAUACGGCGCAAACUCCAACUGGAGGCAGCAGUGGGGAAUCUUGCACACUGGGGGACACCCUGAUGCAGCAACGCCGCGUGCGGGAUGACGGCCUUCGGGUUGUAAACCGCUUUCAGCCAUGACGCGGUAGUGGCAGAAGAAGCCCCGGCUAACUACGUGCCAGCAGCCGCGGUAAUAC